UUAAGUCGACCGCCUGGGGAGUACGGCCGCAAGGUUAAAACUCAAAUGAAUUGACGGGGGCCCGCACAAGCGGUGGAGCAUGUGGUUUAAUUCGAUGCAACGCGAAGAACCUUACCUGGUCUUGACAUCCACGGAAGUUUUCAGAGAUGAGAAUGUGCCUUCGGGAACCGUGAGACAGGUGCUGCAUGGCUGUCGUCAGCUCGUGUUGUGAAAUGUUGGGUUAAGUCCCGCAACGAGCGCAACCCUUAUCCUUUGUUGCCAGCGGUCCGGCCGGGAACUCAAAGGAGACUGCCAGUGAUAAACUGGAGGAAGGUGGGGAUGACGUCAAGUCAUCAUGGCCCUUACGACCAGGGCUACACACGUGCUACAAUGGCGCAUACAAAGAGAAGCGACCUCGCGAGAGCAAGCGGACCUCAUAAAGUGCGUCGUAGUCCGGAUUGGAGUCUGCAACUCGACUCCAUGAAGUCGGAAUCGCUAGUAAUCGUGGAUCAGAAUGCCACGGUGAAUACGUUCCCGGGCCUUGUACACACCGCCCGUCACACCAUGGGAGUGGGUUGCAAAAGAAGUAGGUAGCUUAACCUUCGGGAGGGCGCUUACCACUUUGUGAUUCAUGACUGGGGUGAAGUCGUAACAAGGUAACCGUAGGGGAACCUGCGGUUGGA
rnacentral:rRNA from 1 species